rnacentral:rRNA from 1 species
AGAACGAACGCUGGCGGCAUGCCUAAUACAUGCAAGUCGAACGAAUACUUCGGUGUUAGUGGCGCACGGGUGCGUAACGCGUGGGAAUCUGCCCUUGGGUUCGGAAUAACAGUUGGAAACGACUGCUAAUACCGGAUGAUAUCGAAAGAUCAAAGAUUUAUCGCCCAGGGAUGAGCCCGCGUAGGAUUAGCUAGUUGGUGAGGUAAAGGCUCACCAAGGCGACGAUCCUUAGCUGGUCUGAGAGGAUGAUCAGCCACACUGGGACUGAG